GCCCGCCAUCCGAGUCCUCCCUGCUCACCGCGGUGCGCGCACAUUGUGCUCAGUGGCCCAGAGCCCCUGAUUUAAGAGUUUCAUGGCAGAAUAAAGUUUAGUUGAAGCUUUCAUUCAUCACAGCACUGCGGUGGUGACCAGAAGAGCUGCAGACUUCGUUUCUGCUAUGAAGUUGGUAUAAGCUUCCUUCAAGAUGGCAAACAUACUGGACUAUUAUUUGACCUGUUUAAAGCAACCUUGCUAGAUGGUUUUUAACACCGAGCCAUUUUUACUCCUUUUGUAAAAGAUAUGAAACAUUUCACCUGCACACAUUUAAAUGAAUUAACAUAUAUCACUAAACAGUAAUUGUGGCUGUAGUAUUUAAAAGAUACUAAAUGUAACAAUUGUGGAAUGAAAAUAGGUAUCGGAAAAUGCAGCUUGUAUCUGGCAUGAUCAGUUUCUAACCAGAUCUCAAACUAAAUUAUUGCAAGUAAACACAGGCUGGAUGAACAUA